GCUGCGUUAGCUCAGUUGGUAGAGCAGCUGUCUUGUAAACAGCAGGUCGCCGGUUCGAGCCCGGCACGCAGCUCCA
rnacentral:tRNA from 2 species